AUAGUAGGUUAAUUCCACAUUUCUCAUCCACUUGAAAAUUACAAACUAUAACCACAACCUCCAUUUACACCAUCAAAUAAAAAUCUGAAUUUCCAUUGAUGUGUCUUAUUCUUUUUGAGUACCCAUGAAUGCCCUAAAUACCCACUCUCUUUCUCCUUUAAUUUUUGGUUGUCGUACUGUUUUUCCCCUAUAUCGUCUUCUUGAAGUCAGAAUCUGCAUAUACUUCCUUCAUGAAAGUUGUAGAUCGUGAAAAGUUAUUGAAUUUAGACCCAAAGAUCAUCUGAUUCGGAGUUCGGAGUAAAGAGUUAGACCCUUUAUUAGAAAGGAAAAGGGAUAUUACAAGCCUUCCCCGGCUAUCAAGUAUAAUAAUCGCGACUCGAGGUAUGGCAAAGCAUAUGCAAGGGUGAUAUUAUGGAUUAUGUUGAAGUAACUCUACACAUAUUUGGGAUGUUUAGAAUACUAUGUAUUAUGAGUAAUCAUUAUUACUCUACUUGAGAGUUUGUAUAUUUUUAGAGAUCAUUUUAAGGCUAUUAUUUUAUUUAUGGGCCCAUAACCCACAGCUUAAGUUCUGUUUCCGCUGCCAAUCAUGAGUAAUUAAGGCUAUGAAUUCUCGGGGCGUUACAGGGUGUUUAGAUACCCGACGCCCCACUUGUAGCUAUUGUGUGUUCCUUGGUGAUAAUUUACUCUCCUGGUCCUCUAAGCGAUAGGCUACUUUUGUCUUGUUCUAGUGCUGAAUCAGAAUACAGGGGGUUGCCGAUGUAGUAUCUGAGUUGUGUUGGUUGCGAAAUCUACUUAUUGAGCUUCAGUGUCCUAUCAGAAAGCUACAUUGGUGUAUUGUAAUAAUGUGAGUGCGAUUUACUUGUCCGACAACCCGAUUCAACAUCAACGCACAAAAGACAAUGAGAUGGAUAUUCAUAUUGUACGUGAUAAAGAAGCACGAGGUGAGGUUCGCGUGUUACAUGUUCCAUCCCGGUAUUAGAUUGCCGAUAUUUUCACGAAGGGUCUUCCGUUAUUUGAAAAUUUUAGGGACAGUCUCAGCGUCCGACCUCCUCCCGCUUUGACUGAGGGGGUGUGCUAGAAUAUAUGAAAAUACUCCUAUUUUUAUUAUUCACAAUAUUGUUGUAUAUCUUUUAGUUAGUUAGUAACCUAUUUUAUAAGAUAUGUGAUUACUGUA